rnacentral:rRNA from 1 species
GACGAACGCUGGCGGCGUGCUUAACACAUGCAAGUCGAACGGAAAGGCCCUGCUUUUGUGGGGUGCUCGAGUGGCGAACGGGUGAGUAACACGUGAGUAACCUGCCCUUGACUUUGGGAUAACUUCAGGAAACUGGGGCUAAUACCGGAUAGGAGCUCCUGCUGCAUGGUGGGGGUUGGAAAGUUUCGGCGGUUGGGGAUGGACUCGCGGCUUAUCAGCUUGUUGGUGGGGUAGUGGCUUACCAAGGCUUUGACGGGUAGCCGGCCUGAGAGGGUGACCGGCCACAUUGGGACUGAGAUACGGCCCAGACUCCUACGGGAGGCAGAAGUGGGGAAUAUUGCACAAUGGGCGGAAGCCUGAUGCAGCAACGCCGCGUGCGGGAUGACGGCCUUCGGGUUGUAAACCGCUUUCGCCUGUGACGAAGCGUGAGUGACGGUAAUGGGUAAAGAAGUACCGGCUAACUACGUG